rnacentral:rRNA from 1 species
CACGUAGGCGGCCUGUCAAGCUUGGUGUGAAAGACCUCAGCUCAACUGAGGAAACGCGCUGAGAACUGGCAAGCUAGAGUCUAAGAGGGGGAGUUAGAAUUCCAGGUGUAGGGUGAAAUCUGUAGAUAUCUGGAAGAAUACCGGUGGCGAAGGCGAACUCCUGGUAAUAGACUGACGCUGAGGUGCGAAAGUGUGGGGAGCGAACA